rnacentral:rRNA from 1 species
AUGGAUCCCUCGUCCUCCCCUGCCAUGCCACCGGCUACCAAGCAAGCCCCACCCCUGCCUACUGAAAACGAAGUGGCAGAGUACCUGCUUCUGCUGGGGGAAACCGCCGGCCCUGAGGGCGAGAGCGCUCACCCGGAGGACUUUGAUCUGGAGGGGGAACAUAAUCCAGUUCCAGAUGAAUCUAUCGUAGAGGUCGCCAUGGAUGGGCAGGAUGAUUCUUCUGACAGGACUCUGGUGGUGACUACUGGUCUGAUAGAGUCCAGUGCUGAUGAAGCGCAAGACAUGGAAGAAGAAGUUAAUAUGCUGGACAACGAAGAAGGAGAUGAACCACUAAAGGAAUACUUUUACGGGCCAGUGAUAAUCACGGAACCAGUGCGGCGGUGUAACCGGAGAAAUGGCCGUUGGUGGGUUUGCAGCAAGAUUGCACACCCAGGCUGUACUAUGUGCUUGCAUCACAUGAAGAACCGCCCUGAACACUUACAUUCCAAUGAGCUGCAAGCUAGCACUCUCAGGUCUGAAGCUGUAGACUGGGAGAAGACAGCCGGUCCAUCUUCGCUGGAGGCACUUUCUGGCCCAUCUGCUGUGCGAGAUGACGAUGUCGGCCCCGCUUAG